rnacentral:lncRNA from 1 species
CUUUAGAAUGACAAGGUUUAAAAUUUAAUUAGCAGCUUCCACUUAUGCAAACUCUCCUCAUUAAACUAAGUGUCCUAUUAGUUAAAAUGAAGCCCGGUGGGGGUGGGAGCUGGACGCAUGGCCCCGGGCAGAGACGGAUAACGAUGCAGGAAAUUUUACGGUGGCCUUGGCUGCUGCAAGUCGGGUCAUCACUUAGGGAUGGCACCUGACUUCCCCCUGCAGUCCUGUCUCACGCCCAGGUUUUGGGGGCCCUUUGCGGGUCCCCCACCUCCGUGCUGCUCUUAAGCUGACGACUUUUGCGCCCUUCCUGUGGCCCCAGGGCAGGUCUGCGCCCCCCCACCCCCACUGAUGAGUUGGAGGGCCCCCUGCGGGUCUGGGGGCUGACAGGUGAGCUGGCCCCAUACCCCCCCGCACCCCCUCCUCGGCAGCCUGCACCCUCCACCCCUGCAUCUGGCCGUCCAGCACGUCCAUCUGGCCCUUUGUGCGUGGGCUGCAGCCAGCCGGUGGGUGGGCAGGCGGCCCACGAGGGUCUGGGCAGGCGGGAGCCCCGACCCCAGGAGGCCUGGCCGCCCCGCCUCCUGUCACUGUCCUUUAACUAACACUCUGAAGGAUUUUUCAAUGGAAGCAUCUCCAGACCGCAUGCCCCCUCCCCCUCCCCAACCGCCAGUCACUGACAAUGAUGAGAGGGGUUAAAGGGCGGGGGUCAGGGGUUGGGGUGGGUGUGGGGGGGUAGGGCUGCUCCCUUCUUCCUGUGCCCCAGCGGGAGUUUGUGCCCUCGGCCCCCUACUGUCUUGGCCCAUUGGGGGCGGGGGCAGGGCAGUGGCCUGAGCAAAGGGGCCCGCAGAGCCCGUGGCCCCUCCUCCUGUGUCUGCAAGAGGAAGCACAUUUAGCUCAGGCAAACGCAGAAUUAAGUCUGGGAACGUUUCCUGUUUGGGGUUUAAGGAACCUGCCUAUUUGCUGUUUUCUGGUUUUGUCUUGACUUAUUAGUGAUUAGCCACCUUGUAAUUCCAACAACUUUUUUUUUUCAAGGUCCUUAACCCUCUAGGCCACCAGGGAACUCAACGGCUAGAAUUUGAAGUUAAUUGAAUAUUAAAAAAAAAUUGUACCGAAUAAUCUUUUCUAUGGGGAAAAGCACACA